rnacentral:lncRNA from 1 species
AGCUACCGUGUGGCUAUUUGAUAACCUAAAUAUGUAGGAAAUGAGUUGAUUGUGCUUUUCUGUUCCCAGCCUAAAAAUUUAGUUACUCAGCUGAGUUGGUGUUCUCAUCAGGAACCCAGCAGUCAAAACAAAGCACUGAAUUGAAUCCUGCUGGUUGCUGGAAUUUAGCGGUCCUGGAAGCCAGCUGGCACAGGAUGCACAAAGAAUGCCUCGUUCUAAACGAUCAAGAUGAAAAAAAGAAGCUUGAACUAGACCAGUAGAAAUUACUCAGCCUAUUGACUUCAAACCUACUGGAGGCCGUCUUAUAAUCAGAAGAUUUUGUGGGAGACGUUUCUCUUCUCCAUCUACAAAGAGGUUGUGGUGACACACUAUCUGAUGUUCAACCCUUAUGAUGUCAAAAUAAUAUCAGGAGCACAGUGUAAGAGCUACAGAAUGUAUUUCAGUAGUCACAGAAAGAGACAGUGUUGAAAGAAGUGAGUAGUCUCAAUUUUCUCAUUGCUGGGACAAAAUACAUGAUACCCAAGGUUAAAGGAGGAAAGGUGUGUUUGGCUCACAGUUGUAGAGGUUCAGUCAAUUGUUAGCUGGAUCCAAGGCAGGGUGACAUGGCAGAGGAACAUCACAGGGGUGAAACAUU